UGGGCCGGGUUGGAUUCGAACCAACGUAGCAUCAAGCAAUGGAUUUACAAUCCACCCCCUUUAACCACUCGGGCACCGACCC
rnacentral:tRNA from 1 species